rnacentral:rRNA from 1 species
AAUUUUUUUCUUAAGUUUUAAGGGGGUUAAAUUAAAUUAUUUAAAAUAUUAAUAAUUUUAAAAAUUUUUAUUUAUGAAAAUAAAAAAAAUAAAUAUUUAUAGUAAAUUAGUAUAGUAAUAGAAUGAUGAAAUAAGUUAAAAUUUUAAUUUUAAAAAGUAAAUUUAAUUUAUUGUAUCUUGUGUAUCAGAGAUUAUUAAUUAAAAAAUUUGUAUUUAAUUUAUUUCGAAAUUUAAAGAGUUAAUUAAUUAUGUUAGUUAUUGUUUCAUAAAUAUUAAUAAUAAUAAAUUAGUAAUAAAAUGUUAAUCGAUUUAAAUAAUAUCUAAUUUUUAGGGAAAUAAAUUGAAUUUAGUUGUUUUUAAAUAUUUUAAAUUUUUAAUUAUUAAAAUUUUAUUUUAAACAAUUAUAUCAAAUGGGAUAAGCUUUUUGUUAAAAUAUAAUAUUAAUCUAUGAAAUAAAUUAAAAUAUAUAAAAAUAAAAUUAUUUAUUAAUUAUAUUUUGUUAUAAAAAAUUUUAAUUUUUUUAAUGAUUUAAUAUAUUGUAGUAUUUAUAAAUUUACUUAAAUAUUUAUUAAAUUUAUUUUAAUGAAGAAAUAAUGAUAAUAUUAGUAUAAAUUUCAAUUAAUAAAUAAUUUUUAAAUUGUUAUAUUAUUUUUAAGAAUUCGGCAAAAAUAAUGUGUUCGCUUGUUUAACAAAAACAUGUCUUUUUGAUAAAUAAUUUAAAGUCUAAUCUGCCCCCUGAAAUUAUUUUAAAGGGCUGCGGUAUUUUAACCGUACAAAGGUAGCAUAAUAAUUAGGUUUUUAAUUGAAAUCUAGAAUGAAUGAUUGGACGAGAUACAAGCUGUUUUAUAAUAAUUAUUUAAAACUUAAUUUUUUAGUUAAAAAGCUAAAAUUAAAUUAAAAGACGAGAAGACCCUAUAAAUCUUUAUAGUAAUUUUAUUUUAAUAAAUUAUUUUAUUUAAAUUAAUAUUUUUGUAGAUAGUUAUUUUAUUGGGGCGAUAAAAAAAUUUUAAAAACUUUUUCUAAAUUUUUACUUAAAUUAAAGAUUUUUUAAUUUUUGAGCUAUUAUUAAUAAUUCAAAGAAUAAGAUACUUUAGGGAUAACAGCGUAAUUUUAAUUUUAAGUUCUUAUUAAAAUUAAAGAUUGCGACCUCGAUGUUGGAUUAAAAUUUAGUUUAAAUGCAAAGGUUUAAAUUUUAAGUCUGUUCGACUUUUAAAAUUUUACAUGAUCUGAGUUCAAACCGGUGUGAGCCAGGUUGGUUUCUAUCUUUAAUAAAAAGAAAUUUUUUAGUACGAAAGGAUCGGAAAUUUUGAAUUAAUUUAUGAUAUGUGAUAAAAAGUAACGUAUUAAAUAAGAAUUAAUAG